CAGCCGCCGCGGUAAAACGUAGGUGGCCAGCGUUGUCCGGAAUUAUUGGGCGUAAAGGGCUCGCAGGCGGUUUCUUAAGUCUGAUGUGAAAGCCCCCGGCUCAACCGGGGAGGGUCAUUGGAAACUGGGAAACUUGAGUGCAGAAGAGGAGAGUGGAAUUCCACGUGUAGCGGUGAAAUGCGUAGAGAUGUGGAGGAACACUAGUGGCGAAGGCGGCUCUCUGGUCUGUAACUGACGCUGAGGAGCGAAAGCGUGGGGAGCGAACAGGAUUAGAUACCCCGGUAGUCCCUGUCUCUUAUAC
rnacentral:rRNA from 1 species